CUCGGGACAGUCGGACGUUGAGGAGCGUGAACCCGGUCAGGUUCGGAAGAAAGCAGCCGCAGCGAACACCGAACGGGUCGAUUUCCCACGAAA
rnacentral:SRP_RNA from 1 species